UGUUAAAAAUUUCAUUUAUUUGUACUGUAAUAAAUUGGCAUGACUGACGAAAUAAUCAAACAGUGACACGUGAUGAUACCUCAUGCUAAAUAGAGGGAUCAGGUUUCAACAGUAAAAAUAGAUGAAUUUUUUUUAAUA
rfam:Gossypium raimondii Chr06_contig_958, whole genome shotgun sequence.